rnacentral:rRNA from 1 species
GGCGAACGGGUGAGUAACACGUGGAUAACCUGCCUCAAGGCUGGGGAUAACAUUUGGAAACAGAUGCUAAUACCGAAUAAAACUUAGUAUCGCAUGAUACAAAGUUGAAAGGCGCUACGGCGUCACCUAGAGAUGGGUCCGCGGUGCAUUAGUUAGUUGGUGGGGUAAAGGCCUACCAAGACAAUGAUGCAUAGCCGAGUUGAGAGACUGAUCGGCCACUUUGGGACUGAGACACGGCCCAAACUCCUACGGGAGGCUGCAGUAGGGAAUCUUCCACAAUGGGCGAAAGCCUGAUGGAGCAACGCCGCGUGUGUGAUGAAGGCUUUAGGGUCGUAAAGCACUGUUGUAUGGGAAGAAAUGCUAGAAUAGGGAAUGAUUCUAGUUCGACGGUACCAUACCAGAAAGGGACGGCUAAAUACGUGCCAGCAGCCGCGGUAAUACGUAUGUCCCGAGCGUUAUCCGGAUUUAUUGGGCGUAAAGCGAGCGCAGACGGUUGAUUAAGUCUGAUGUGAAAGCCCGGAGCUCAACUCCGGAAUGGCAUUGGAAACUGGUUAACUUGAGUGUUGUAGAGGUAAGUGGAACUCCAUGUGUAGCGGUGGAAUGCGUAGAUAUAUGGAAGAACACCAGUGGCGAAGGCGGCUUAGUGGACAACAACUGACGUUGAGGCUCGAAAGUGUGGGUAGCAAACAGGAUUAGAUACCCUGGUAGUCCACACCCGUAAACGAUGAAUACUAGGGUGUUAGGAGGUUUCCGCCUCUUAGUGCCGAAGCUAACGCAUUAAGUAUUCUCGCCUGGGGAGUACGACCGCACAGGUUGAAACUCAAAAGGAAUUGACGGGGACCCGCACAAGCGGUGGAGCAUGUGGUUUAAUUCGAAGCAACGCGAAGAACCUUACCAGGUCUU